UGUCCUUUAGCCCUGACAGAAGCCUGCCCAUUGUGAUGGAGUGCGUAGCAGCUCUUGCUGUUAUACCUGGGAGGUUCAUUUGUUGGGCUGAACAGAACCAGCAUUGACAGACAUUCCCUGGAUGUGGCAAGCAGAAGUGGUGGCCCUCUAUGCUGUCAGCUGCACAAUUUGCCCUGAGAGAGAUGGCACUAGACGAUCACGAAGAGAUGUAGAUUAUUUCUACAACUUGCCUUAAGUCAAUUUUCCUGUGACCUGUGAAUUUCCAGGUGAAAGGAGUCAAGGAAGAUUCUCCAAGAGAGGGGGAAUGGGGCCUGGGUUCCUCCAAUGCUGUAUCAGCUCCCUUCUGCAGUACCUUUCAGAAUUUCCCUCUUCACUCUUCCAUGUGUAAACUACCUGAACUCAGCCUGUUCUGAAACGCUGUGCCUUCCAGGUCGGUGAUGUUCUGUGGCCUGCUCCAAGAUGGUGGUAAAGAGUAGUAUAUGGGCAUUUUGAUUGUCUUACUGCUGCACUAAAAAGAAAAUCAGUGUCUGUUUCAGCCUCUGUCCCUUGUGAACAGCCUGGGUAUAGAUGUGGACCAGAGUGAGUAUGGACAACUCUCUAAAAUCAUACUCAUUCUGUGAUGGAAAGUCACUCUAUGUCACAGAUACCCUAAAGGAAGUGUGUACAGGCUUGUUUGAACAGCACAACUCAUAAAGGAAAAUAAGCCCUACAUGUGUUGUUGCCCUACACAUUUGUUGAAGCUAUGUUGUCCUAUGACAUUGGAAGGCAUUCGUUGGAGUUGCAUGUCGUGUCUGCUUCAUUCAAGCUGCAGUGUUGCUGGUGUGGCUUCAAGCAUAAUUUAAAUGUUGCUGACUUAAAAUCUUAGUUAUCUGCACGUUGUUCUCUAUUUACAAUGAGGAUAACAGUCACACAAUCCUCUAAAACACAUCAAAAUGUUGAAAAAGAAGUGUAAAUGCUACAUGUAUUUAGUUUAGUGAGUAAAAUGGAAAAAUGUUUGACGCUUGUGUACAGCUGAAAGAGAAGACAGCUGUCUUUGUCCCCAAAAGCUUACAAUGUGAGUGUAAAGCCAUGGUCAUGGGCAGUAAGUGUAGGGAAAUGGAUUGUAUUGAGCAGUGUGCUUGGCAGUAGCCUAACUCAAAUUUCUUAGGAGAAAUCAGAGCAAGGUUUUAAGGAGUGAUCAGGAGGAAUGAAAAUGAAGUUUGGAGCUGUUUAAAAGUUUACCUCAAGUAUGAGUGCAGAAUGAGUAAAAGCUCAAAUACAAGGAGAAACCAAAGAAGAAUGCAUUCAGGCAUUCCUAUGGUCAGAUUAACUGCUGAAAAUGCUGAUGGGGUUGACAUUCUGGGCAAAUAGGACUCGAAUGAGAUGAGACCUGAGGAAAGAAGUUGUAGUAAGCAGAUAAUGACACUUUAGACAAACCUUUUAAUUGUGAAGAUGAACAUACAAUCUUGAAUAUAAGUCAGAAUAUUUCUGCUUGUUUUUGCAUCGCUGAGUGUGAGGGUUUGGAGUGAAAUGAGGGUUGGUAAUGAAGAGUUAUAGGUUGAGAGGCAAAAUAGCAAUUUUUAUCUAUAUUGAUGGAGCAAAAAGUUUGUAGAGCUGAGGCUGACUUGAUUUUAGCCAUCCUCAGAGAAAUGUUUGAUACAGAUUGGGAUUUUAAGCUGGUUCAAGAAGAUAGGAGGGAAGAGGCAUAUUUACAAGUUGUCCGCACUGUGACAUUGUGGAUGAGUGUGUGCAUAGACGGGGGCAGAUACUCAGAAAAUACCAUGAAGGCCAUGAAUUCUUUACCUUUUAAGAUACUCACAAAUAAGCAAACCCAUAAGCAUUCAAUUGUAUGUAUUCUAUUUUAAUAGGUUUUUGUAAUAUCUUUGUUUAAAAUUGAAACAGAACUUAUUUACCAUAUUUACGUGCUCAUUCAUCUGUCUUGGUUGUUGUAGAUGAAAAAUGUGUAUGUUUUAUAAUUUUACACUCCACAGUGUAUAUCCCCUUGCAAGACC